GCAAGUCGAGGGGUAACAGAUAUAAAGCUUGCUUUAUAUGCUGACGACCGGCGCACGGGUGAGUAACACGUAUUCAACCUACCUUUUACAGGAGAAUAACCCAGAGAAAUUUGUACUAAUACUCAUAACGUUUGUUAAUCGUUGAUUGAUAAAUUAAAGCUUCGGCGGUAAAAGAUGGGCAUGCGUCCUAUUAGUUAGUUGGUAAGGUAACGGCUUACCAAGACUAUGAUAGGUAGGGGUUCUGAGAGGACAAUC
rnacentral:rRNA from 1 species